rnacentral:lncRNA from 1 species
GGGCACGGUGGCUCACGCCUGUAAUCUCAGAAUUCUGGGACGCCGAGUCGGACGGAUCACCUGAAGUCCGAAGUUCGAGACCAGCCUGGCCGCCUUGGCGAAACCCCGUCUCCACUAAAAAUACGAAAUAAAUUAGCCGGGAGUAAUGGCGCGCGCCUGUAAUCCCAGCUAGCCGGGUGGCUGAGGCACGAGAAUCGCUUGAACCCGGAGGUUGUAGUGAGCCG